UAAUACGGAGGGUGCAAGCGUUAAUCGGAAUUACUGGGCGUAAAGCGCACGCAGGCGGUUUGUUAAGUCAGAUGUGAAAUCCCCGAGCUUAACUUGGGAACUGCAUUUGAAACUGGCAAGCUAGAGUCUUGUAGAGGGGGGUAGAAUUCCAGGUGUAGCGGUGAAAUGCGUAGAGAUCUGGAGGAAUACCGGUGGCGAAGGCGGCCCCCUGGACAAAGACUGACGCUCAGGUGCGAAAGCGUGGGGAGCAAACAGGAUUAGAUACCCUGGUAGUCUACGCUGUAAACGAUGUCGACUUGGAGGUUGUGCCCUUGAGGCGUGGCUUCCGGAGCUAACGCGUUAAGUCGACCGCCUGGGGAGUACGGCCGCAAGGUUAAA
rnacentral:rRNA from 1 species